GACAGAGGGUGCAAACGUUGUUCGGAAUUACUGGGCGUAAAGCGCGUGUAGGCGGCAGGGCAUGUCGGAUGUGAAAUCCCGUGGCUCAACCACGGAAGUGCACCCGAAACUGCAGAGCUUGAGUACCGGAGAGGAUGGUGGAAUUCCCCAAGUAGAGGUGAAAUUCGUAGAUAUCUGGAGGAACACCGGUGGCGAAGGCGGCAUCCUGGACCAACACUGACGCUGAUGAGCGAAAGCCAGGGGAGCAAACGGG
rnacentral:rRNA from 1 species